GUAGGUGGCAAGCGUUGUCCGGAAUUAUUGGGCGUAAAGCGCGCGCAGGCGGUUCUUUAAGUCUGAUGUGAAAGCCCACGGGCUCAACCGUGGAGGGUCAUUGGAAACUGGAGAACUUGAGUACAGAAGAGGAAAGCGGAACUCCACGUGUAGCGGUGAAAUGCGUAGAGAUGUGGAGGAACACCAGUGGCGAAGGCGGCUUUCUGGUCUGUAACUGACGCUGAGGCGCGAAAGCGUGGGGAGCAAACAGGAUUAGAUACCCUGGUAGUCCACGCCGUAAACGAUGAGUGCUAAGUGUUAGGGGGUUUCCGCCCCUUAGUGCUGCGGCUAACGCAUUAAGCACUCCGCCUGGGGAGUACGGCCGCAAAGGCUG
rnacentral:rRNA from 1 species